AGUUGCUGAAUUUCAGCUUUUCAAAUUUGAGAGUGAAGUCUCCCCCUAUUUCAUCCAAAUGUUUUCAAUUUGACCUUUUGAAUUACUCCCCCUUUCUUUUAUAUUUCAUUAAAGAUGAAACUUCAAAAAUUUGAGAUAAAGCAUGAGUUUCAGAUUAUGUAUCGAGGUGUGAAAGGUAUGUGCCAAAUUCUGAAAUUCGAUUUAAAUCUUAGACUUUAACAUUUUCAUUGUUAC
rnacentral:lncRNA from 1 species